CGGCCCUGUUCGCGCACGUGACCCGCGCUUUGCGGGUGCGCUGCUGGCCUUCUUACCCGGACUGGAGAGCACUUUCAGCCCGGAUGCCCAAGAUGUAGCAAGCCCUGAGGUGGAUAUGUAGAGAGAAUGGAAGUUAUUGGUGUAGUCGUGUCUUUGACCGCAUUUGGGCACCAAGCUACAGAAUUCUAGGCAUCUCUAAGGAGGCCAAGGCCAGUGGGAAACUGAACUGUACAGAAUCAUUCAUUAUAGCUGCAAAGGAGGCUGCCAACAAGAGGAACUGGAUAUUUGGUGGAUACUGACAGACUUUUCACUGCCAUGGCACCUCAAAAACAUGGGGGAUCCAAGGACCACAUUUAACUCUGAAACCAAAGCUGGCAUCAUCCAACAACAUGAACUUGACUCAGCUCCUCUGUUUUCUAUCGAUGGUGACAUUCUGCUACUCCGUGAGACUUCAAGACGGUUCCCUCAGCCCUCAGUGAAGUGGAAAGAUGCAAAUAGUUUACUCCCAGAAUCUGCUGUUGAGUAAAGACAUGCAAGGCCUGUUUCAUGUGGAGUCCUCUCUCAUGGCUCUGGAGAAUGUAUGACACUCCAUUCAGCACCCCAGCCUGAUCCACGAGAUGGACUAGCAGGGAAGUUGUGAAAGGAGGAUGAGGACCAAAUACAAAUCUAAGUCAGGAAAGUAUUUCAUAAGUGUCUUAUAACCAAUGGACACCAAGUCCAUCUCCCCACAGAGAAGACAACUGUUCCCUGGAAAAGGAGAACCGUUAAAGACACAUAUUGACUGUUAGGUUUCCAGCCUGGUACCAAUGGCUGAGGUGUCUAUUUAACAUAUCAAAGCUGACCUGGCUGCCAGGUUCUCCCUACAUCCCUCAGUCCCUACCUAUUACAGGGCCCUCCUGGCUGGCAUACCCAAGCCCUACCCUGAGCUCUCCAGCCUAGGGGCUGGGUUGCUCUUCCCUAUAUAAUCCAACCAUUUUGGUUGCCUACUUUCUUUGUACUUUUGGGCCUCCUGGCUGCUGUACCUGGUCCUCUUUUCCCUCUCUCUACUCCUCUCCCCACAUGGCACAGCUCAGGGUCAUGCCCACUCUAGACUCUCCCAGAUGUCCCUGCCUCUGGCUAUAUUCUCUCACAUAUCUAUAAUAAACUUUGUCUUCCACUAAACCUAGGAGCAGUUAUGUUUCCUAUCCUUUCCUUUUUAUUUCUUUUUUCUUUCAGAGGAGAACCAUAAUAUGUAUGUGUCUGGAAAAGAAAAAGAUUUAAGGAAGAAAAAGCACUGCUAUCAGUAUAUUUAUUUCACAAACAAAAGAGUUCAUUCACCAUGAAAAAUUAACAUUGAAAAAUAUUGAUCUCAACCAGAGACCAUGCCAGCACUCAGAUUCCCAGUCCCAGAUGGCUUCUGCUCUGAUGCACCCGACCAGGAGAACAUCCCAGAGACCACUGAUGCCUGUGAAGGUAGAGGACAAACCCAUCCAGGGAGAUGACCAGAGAGAAGAGUAAGCUGAUGACUUGGGAAGACAUCAAGACUUUUGCUCAUCAAGUCAAGACCUUGGGGAGACAACAAGGACACAACACUACUAACACAGGAAGGAUGCUGUUAUGUUUACUGACUAUAUUACAUGUUAAUUCUCAGUUUAUCAGUGCAGAAUCCAAAUGCCUUUUAUCAGGGGUGAUAAAAGGCACUCCUGUAAUAGGAGACACUAUGAUGUUGUUUUGCCAUGCUAAGGAUUGUUUUUAUACUUUGGGACCAAUUGUCUGGACAAAAGACGUUAUACGAAUAUUGAGUCACAUGAAUGGAGGCUAUUUUGGUUGGACUAAUCUAAUUAGUCAGUCCAAAUGCAAUAAUACAGAUUUUAGCAUAAUUAGAUACUCUUCAGAGAACUGAUAGUGGAAAUUAUAGUUGUAUGAAGAUGAAAAAGGAGUAUCUGAUGUAUUGAUGUUGCUGUACCUAGAAUAGUGCUAUCUGUUGCCAAUGGUUUAGAAAAUAACCUCUGGCUUUGUUUGGUACAUGGCAAUCAACAAGAAUAAUCUUUUUGUAUCAGAGGAGACCCAUCUAUUCCUGGGCUCUUAAAUUUUUUUACUCAUAUGCAUUAGAAUCCACCCACACCUGUAUCCAUAGGUCUUCCCCUGAUAUUCCUGUCAAUGGUGUUUUUUAAAAUAAUGAUGCUUAUGCUUUAAAUGUGCUUAUAUUCCUCCUUAUUGUAAUUUUACCUCUAGCCAUACCUUUCCCUCUGGUAGCAACUGCCUUUGGAAAAAUGAUACAUAUACUGCUUUUCCUGUGAGUUAUAAAGGCUUAUGUGGGAUAGGCCGCAUUACAUCCAUUUUGUUCGAUAAAUCUUUGCAAUCUAUCAAUGGAAUUAAGAGCGCUCCCUCAAAGUUGGGAUGAUUCUUUCACAUCUAUUAGAUCCUGUGAUGGUUGCAUCCACACUAGCUUUUUUAUUACCAGUCCCAGGAAUGAUUACUGGAACACAAAGAGAGGUCUCAAAACUGGCCUGUAUAUGAUAACCAGGGAACCUACAUGGGACUGACCUGGGCUCUCUGCAUAUAAGUUACAGUUGUGUAACUUGGUCUUCAUGUGGGACUCCUAGCUGUGAGAGCAGGGGUCUCUAACUCUGCUGCCUGAUUUUGGGACCUAUUCCUUCUGUCUGAUUGCCUCAUUCAACCUUGGUAGAAGAAGGGGUGCCUGGUCUCAGUGCACUUGGUGUACCAUGGCUGGCUGAUGUCCAUGGGAUGCCUGCCUGAAUCUGAAAAGAGACAGUGGAGGAGUGGCUGGGGGCAGGGUGAGAGAUGGGGGACUGGG